AGAGAAGAAUCUCCCUGAACUGAACAAAUGUGUCACUUUUGAAUAAGGAUUCAUGAAAAAGCAGAGAAGGAGAAGAAAAAAAGAAUAAAGAUGGCUUUGGAAAAGUUGUGAGUGAAUUAGAAAUGCAAACUGUGUGGAAAGAAAGGACGAGAGAAACGUGGCCUGAAGGCUGUCCCGAGGACUCAUCCUGACAGUGUCAGAGAUAUAAGGAAGGGCUGUGAUCACCUCCACCUCUCGCGCUGUGGGGUUUGAUCCUGGAAGGAGAUGGAAGGGAUCCAUGACGGGCUGCCCUGGAGCCAGUCCCUGCCAUGAGGAGUCUCCCUCAUUGACGGGGAGGUAGCGCUGGAGGCUGGAAAUACAGGAUAAGAUAGGAAUGGAAGCCCGCAGCUGGGGAGCAGAGGAUCUGUCUGAUCGCAUCCUGGUUCUUGGGCUCAUUCUUUGCCUGUGCAAGUCCUUGAGCUCGAAGGAGGAUGAACUAUCCACCAUUUUUGGGCAAGGUGCUGUGCCAAAUUCACAGCCCAGCCCUUGGCCCCAUGUCAGUCACCUUCAAAAGCUCAUCUUUCCCUUUUCCACCUCACUGAGCAUGGGGGACCCAGACAACUUCGUAAACUCGGGAUGUGGCAAAAGCCUUGCUGUAUCUCAGAGUACUGGAAUCUCUGUUUGAAGCUUCAAAAUCUUCCCAAAACUGCCAUGAACACAAAACAGUUCAAGCCCAAAUUUUUGAAGCUAUUUAUGUAUUGAGAGUCAGUAGGAAUUGCCAGAAGUGCUAAACUGUCUCUUAUCCUGAUCUUUUCUUGUUGUUAAAAAAAAAAAAAAAGAGAGAGAGAGAGAGAGGGAAAAGAGAGAGAGUACGGUUCCUUGUUAUUUUAGGUUUCAACUACAAACUAUUGUCUCUUUGUAAAUUGAGACAAACAGGAAAAAAAUUGCUAUCUCAGUUUAGUUGGGAAUAUAUCAGCUGUGAAAACUCAAGAAAAUCAGACAAGUAGUGCUUGAAUUUCAGGCCUUAAUAAUAGAUAGCUAUUGCAGAUUCUGUAAUAUUACUUUUUUUACUAGUUCUAUCAUCAGACAAAUUUUCUACUUUUUGUGUUACUGAGUUUUUGUUGCAUGGACCAAUAGCAAUCAGAUGAUGGGCCACAAAAUAAUUUUAAGUUCCCAGCUCCUUCAAAUUGGUGUGCCUGGUCUCAGAUAUUCACACAUGGAAGUCAGCAGACAGGGUAAGAAAUGAAUGAAAAAACAUUCACAACAUAACCUAAUUGUGUGGUUGCAAAUAUGAACUGUCACAGCUGAUGGUAGAAUUUUUGGAAAGGUCGAGGAGUCCAUGGAUUGUUACAAAAAGCUCACAAGAUUUUUUGAUGAUAAAUGGUAGAGAAGCACUUCCCUAUGCUUCAAGCGCUUCUGAUUGAGAUUUAUGCAUGGCUUACUCUCUGAGUAUUGUUUGGAGAUGUUUUGAGGGUGGUUCCUUGUUCAUUCAUGUGUUCUGUGUAGCUGAGUAAGGAUGCUUCUGGUUCGUAAGUUUUAUUACCCAUGAUACUUAAGAGAGAACUUUAAAGGGGAUGUAUUUUCACUUGUGAGUGUAUGGUAUCUGGUGUUUAGAAGACAGUUCAAACAGCUGGAUUUGGCUCAAUUCAGCAAAUGCCCAUAUGGGACAGAUAAGUAAGUCAGCUGAUGCUGAAAUAGAUACCAACCACUUUGGUGUUGGAAAUAAUGUUCUUACACUCCAAAAAUAAUCAGAGAAUUUUUAAAAAAUAAUCUUACGUCAAACUAAGAUGAAAAAUCUCAAAUAUUGUAUUUGAUCACUCAGAAUGUUUAAAUCAACAAUUGUUGUUGUUGUUGUUACAGAUUAAAAUACAUUUUGUAGUCAUUUUACACUGAAACAUGCAGUUUUCCUUUAAAACUGUCAAAAUGCAUCUUUAUAACAUUAAAACUUUUUUACAAAUUUUGUCACAUUGAGAAAUUUUCAAAUCCAAUCUGUUUUUCUAUAAAACAUCGACAUUUAUGUUAAUAAAUGUGCAUUUGCUAAUAAAAAAGUCCA
rnacentral:lncRNA from 1 species